GCACCUCGACGAAUCGGGUGAUUCCGGUCAAAGUUCUCCCUGCCACAAAAUAGGUUCUGGAAAUGUCGGGACUCAGGCAGUGUCUGGUGCUUCUGCUGAAGCAGCUGGUGCUUCCGCUGAUGAUACAGUCUCGCGUACUCCGCCACCUCCAGCUACUGUGGUCUUUGUGUAUAUGAUGGAUCUGUUGUUGAUUUAGUCUGCUAGCUCAUGUCGCUGAGUUUUUUACUCCAUCUGAGAAGCAUCCGGUUGACAUUGAGCAGUGUGAGGAUUUGGGUGGUGGUGAUUCAGGUUUUCCUCUGGGAAAUGCUUCUGAGAAGAAGUGUGUAUAAUGAAGGGCUAUACAAGGCUAAGCCUGAUUCAGACAAGAUGAUAGCCUGAAUAUGACUUGCCAGCUAGAGAAAAUCCCUUUGGGUUUAAGAUUAGGAAAACCUAUGGGGGGCCCCGACGGUCGGAGACAGAUGCUUGGGAAAGUCUGGGUAAAGCGCUAAUCCAGGAAAUCAUGUUGGAAACAGGGUACAAUGUAGAUGAUGUAAACUAUCGUUUUGCAAUGUGGCUUGUAGCCAGUUUGCUAAGUUGCAUCGCAUUGCUGGAUUGGCGACUCUGAUGGCACAUUGUGCUCGAGAAAGAGAUCGCGAGGCCACCGAGUCAUUGAAUAAAGUGAGGGAAAAACUUUCGUCUAUAUGCCUUCGGUAUGACGAUGUGCUUCCUUUUUCUAAGGUUAAAGAGGCAGGUGAUGGUAGUGUGUUAUCUGGACGUAUGGAAGAGCUGGCCAGGGAGUUGGUGAACCUAGCGCAGGGCGACGACGAACUAGGAUUGGACAGUGUGGACUAGGAGGUAUGUAGAUGUUGUCUGUCAUAGAUGUGUCCAGGUGCUCAUGUUUGUGGACGAUUGCCAGUGCGCUUUUUUGCACUGGUGUUGGUCUGUUCGUAGGUGUGUUAGAUUCAGCCGACUUAAGGGAGGAUGCAGGUGUGUUUUGGGGCUGAUGGUCGGCUGCGGCAGGUUUGUUGGUGUGUCGUUUAAUACACGUGUUUAGUCGCGUGAGGUGUGCUUUUGCCGUUCUGUAAUUAGGACGAUGUAUCGCUUUAUGUGGAAGCUGAUGCAUGGUUUUAUGUGGCUUUGUGAUUUUCUGCACGCCCUUUUGU